GCUGGGUAUGGUGGUGUACACCUGUAAUCCUAGCUACUUGGGAGGCUGAGGCAGGAGAAUCGCUUGAACUCAGGAGGCACAGGUUGCAGUGAGGCAAGAUUGUACCACUGCACUCCAGCCUGGGCAACAGAGCGAGACUCUGUCUCAA
ensembl:misc_RNA Metazoa_SRP Metazoan signal recognition particle RNA